rnacentral:rRNA from 1 species
AUUGAACGCUGGCGGCAGGCCUAACACAUGCAAGUCGAGCGGAGCGGCGGACGGGUGAGUAAUGCCUAGGAAUCUGCCUGGUAGUGGGGGAUAACGUCCGGAAACGGGCGCUAAUACCGCAUACUAUCAGAUGAGCCUAGGUCGGAUUAGCUAGUUGGUGGGGUAAAGGCCUACCAAGGCGACGAUCCGUAACUGGUCUGAGAGGAUGAUCAGUCACACGGGAACGGGGACACGGUCAAGACUCCUACGGGAGGAGCCGGUGGGAAAUAUGGGACAAUGGGGAAAAGCCUGGUCCAGCAAGGCCGCGUGUGUGAAGAAGGUCUUCGGAUUGUAAAGCACUUUAAGUUGGGAGGCGGUACCAGCAGAGUAAGCACCGGCUAACUACGUGCCAGCAGCCGCGGUAAUAC